AUGCUACGGUAGCACAUAUACUAAAAUUGGAACGAUACAGAGAAGAUUAGCAUGGCCCCUGUGCAAGGAUGACGUGCAAAAUUGUGAAGCGUUACCACACCUAU
ensembl:snRNA U6 U6 spliceosomal RNA